AUGUAUCUUCCCCGGUGCUUAGAACAGUGCCUGGCACAUAGUAAGUGCUUAGGAAAUACCACAAUUAUCAUCAUCAUCUCUUCACCCAGGGCUCUUCUCCUUCCACUGUAUCUUCCAGCGCCUCAUCCAUCCUCUGGUCGUCCCCACGCAACCCGAGUGGCUUUGACGGCCAGUGCGGAGGAAGCCGUAGAGCAGGGACUUCGGCCCACGAGGACACAGGGGGGCCCUUUGCUGGUCCAGGGGACUGUGAAGGAGCAGAGUCACCUCAGUCACGGAGCAGCAAGGCCAGAGGCGAAACCCACUGCUCCUCCCUCGCCAGCCUGGGCAGGACGUUCAGUACGGAGCUGGCACCUCCCCGGCCGGGCUCUGUGGCCGGGAGACUAGGGUGAGAGCCUGGGCGGAGUUGGAGAAGAUGCCCCUUUCCCCCAAUUUGUGCCGGCCUUGCCCCCGGAUGGGGUGGGGAGGAUGCACAUUGCCGAGCGGUGGCACGGGGAAGGGGCAGAGGGGCACGUUGCGGCCAAACCAGCUUUGGUCGUCUCUACCCGGUUCCCCCUGAUCGACGGAAGCGGAGAGGUGGGGCUGUGGUCCAGGCAGUACACACCCGAACUCUCCAGGUAUUUUACGUGGAAGCUGCUCUUUUCAUUCCAAACUUCCCAGAUCGUUGCCUCGGUCUUCCACUUCCCUGAGCCACGGAGGAGGCUUGCUGGGUGAGGAGUGGGCAGAGCUCGCUCCUGCCCCCCGAAUUCAAACGCGUCCCACUCGAUCGGGGUAUUUACCGAGUGCUGAUUGCAUGCGGGUUUCUGUGCCAAGCCUUGGGAGAGGACGAUAGAAUACAGUUAGUGGUUGAGAAGCAGCAAGAGUACGGACCUGCGUUCUAAUUCCGGCUCCACCGCUUGCCGGCCGUGUGAUCUUGGCAAGUCACUUCCAUUGUUCUCGUCCGUCCGUCUCCCCCGAUUAGACCGUAAGCCCGUCAGACGGCAGGGACCGUCUCUAUCUGUUGCCGACUUGUUCAUUCCAAGCGCUUAGUACGGUGCUCUGCACAUAGUAAGCGCUCAAUAAAUACUAUUGAAUGAAUGAAUAUCUCUCAACCUCGGUCCCUUCCUUGGUAAAAUGGGGAUUAAAACUGUGAGCCCCACGUGGGGCAGAGGAUGUGUCCAACCCGAAUAGCUUGUAUCUCCCCCAGUGCUCAGUACAGUGCCUGGCACAUAGGAAGCACUUACCAAAUACAUUUAUUUAUAUUAAUACCUGUCUGCCCCUCUGGACUGUGAGCUGGGUGUGGGCAGGGAACGGGUCUGUUUAUUGUUAUACUGUAUUCCCCCAAGCGCUUAAUACAGUGUUUUGCACACAGAUGCUCAAUAUAUAUGACUGAAUGAAUGAAUUGGCCAUAAUCAUUACCAUUAUUGUUAUUAGUUAGCAGACAUGAGCCCUGCCCACGAGGUGUUUCCUUUCUAGCCGGGGAGCAGCAGCUCAAGUCGGUAGGACCAGCACCGAAAACCCGAAAGGAUGCUCCGAUUCAAGCCAAAAGAUAAAAAUAAUAACGAUUAUUAUUCUGAAAAUGGAUUAUUAUUAUUAUUAUUCUUAGGACCUGCAACGAAAACUCGAAAAGAU
rnacentral:lncRNA from 1 species